CGAAAGCCUGACGGAGCAAUACCGCGUGAGGGAGGAAGGCUCUUGGGUUGUAAACCUCUUUUCUCAAGGAAGAAUACAAUGACGGUACUUGAGGAAUAAGCAUCGGCUAACUCCGUGCCAGCAGCCGCGGUAAUACGGAGGAUGCAAGCGUUAUCCGGAAUGAUUGGGCGUAAAGCGUCCGCAGGUGGCAAUGAAAGUCUGCUGUUAAAGAGUGAGGCUCAACCUCAUAAAAGCGGUGGAAACUACAUAGCUAGAGUACGUUCGGGGCAGAGGGAAUUCCUGGUGUAGCGGUGAAAUGCGUAGAGAUCAGGAAGAACACCGGUGGCGAAAGCGCUCUGCUAGGCCUGUACUGACACUGAGGGACGAAAGCUAGGGGAGCGAAUGGGAUUAGAUACCCCAGUAGUCCUAGCCGUAAACGAUGGAUACUAGGCGUGGCUUGUAUCGACCCGAGCCGUGCCGGAGCUAACGCGUUAAGUAUCCCGCCUGGGGAGUACGCACGCAAGUGUGAAACUCAAAGGAAUUGACGGGGGCCCGCACAAGCGGUGGAGUAUGUGGUUUAAUUCGAUGCAACGCGAAGAACCUUACCAAGACUUGACAUGUCGCGAAUCCUCUUGAAAGGGAGGAGUGCCUUCGGGAGCGCGAACACAGGUGGUGCAUGGCUGUCGUCAGCUCGUGUCGUGAGAUGUUGGGUUAAGUCCCGCAACGAGCGCAACCCUCGUUUUUAGUUGCCAGCAUUAAGUUGGGCACUCUAGAGAGACUGCCGGUGACAAACCGGAGGAAGGUGGGGAUGACGUCAAGUCAGCAUGCCCCUUACGUCUUGGGCUACACACGUACUACAAUGCUACGGACAAAGGGCAGCAAGCUAGUGAUAGCAAGCAAAUCUCAUAAACCGUAGCUCAGUUCAGAUCGCAGGCUGCAACUCGCCUGCGUGAAGUCGGAAUCGCUAGUAAUUGCAGGUCAGCAUACUGCAGUGAAUUCGUUCCCGGGCCUUGUACACACCGCCCGUCACACCAUGGAAGCUGGCAACGCCCGAAGUCAUUACUCCAACC
rnacentral:rRNA from 1 species